UAAGCGGUGUGUGACUGGCGUAGACAUGGAGUACCAUGAGGGAGCGCACCGACGCUGCUGCAUGGAUGAUCGCGGUUACCAACACGCAUGGUCCUUGAGCAAACGCCGUACGCCUGGGCAAAGUAU
rnacentral:ncRNA from 2 species